rnacentral:rRNA from 1 species
UGUGAGGAAGGUGGGGAUGACGUCAAAUCAGCACGGCCCUUACAUCCGGGCGACACACGUGUUACAAUGGUAAGGACAAAGGGCAGCUACCGGGCGACCGGAUGCGAAUCUCUAAACCUUAUCUCAGUUCGGAUCGGAGUCUGCAACUCGACUCCGUGAAGCUGGAUUCGCUAGUAAUCGCGCAUCAGCCAUGGCGCGGUGAAUACGUUCCCGGGCCUUGUACACACCGCCCGUCAAGCCAUGGGAGCCGGGGGUACCUGAAGUUCGUAACCGCAAGGAUCGACCUAGGGUAAAACUGGUGACUGGG